rnacentral:rRNA from 1 species
CGGGAGGCAGCAGUGGGGAAUAUUGGACAAUGGGGGCAACCCUGAUCCAGCCAUGCCGCGUGUGUGAAGAAGGUCUUCGGAUUGUAAAGCACUUUAAGUUGGGAGGAAGGGCAUUAACCUAAUACGUUAGUGUUUUGACGUUACCGACAGAAUAAGCACCGGCUAACUCUGUGCCAGCAGCCGCGGUAAUACAGAGGGUGCGAGCGUUAAUCGGAAUUACUGGGCGUAAAGCGAGUGUAGGUGGCUCAUUAAGUCACAUGUGAAAUCCCCGGGCUUAACCUGGGAACUGCAUGUGAUACUGGUGGUGCUAGAAUAUGUGAGAGGGAAGUAGAAUUCCAGGUGUAGCGGUGAAAUGCGUAGAGAUCUGGAGGAAUACCGAUGGCGAAGGCAGCUUCCUGGCAUAAUAUUGACACUGAGAUUCGAAAGCGUGGGUAGCAAACAGGAUUAGAUACCCUGGUAGUCCACGCCGUAAACGAUGUCUACUAGCCGUUGGGGUCCUUGAGACUUUAGUGGCGCAGUUAACGCGAUAAGUAGACCGCCUGGGGAGUACGGCCGCAAGGUUAAAACUCAAAUGAAUUGACGGGGGCCCGCACAAGCGGUGGAGCAUGUGGUUUAAUUCGAUGCAACGCGAAGAACCUUACCUGGUCUUGACAUAGUGAGAAUCUUUCAGAGAUGAGAGAGUGCCUUCGGGAAUUCACAUACAGGUGCUGCAUGGCUGUCGUCAGCUCGUGUCGUGAGAUGUUGGGUUAAGCCCCGCAACGAGCGCAACCCUCGUUCUAUGUUGCCAGCACGUGAUGGUGGGGACUCAUAGGAGACUGCCGGGGUCAACUCGGAGGAAGGUGGGGAUGACGUCAAAUCAUCAUGCCCCUUAUGUCUUGGGCUUCACGCAUGCUACAAUGGCCGGUACAAAGGGCUGCAAUACCGCAAGGUGGAGCGAAUCCCAAAAAGCCGGUCUCAGUUCGGAUUGAGGUCUGCAACUCGACCCCAUGAAGUCGGAGUCGCUAGUAAUCGCAGAUCAGCAACGCUGCGGUGAAUACGUUCCCGGG